GCGAGUCCUCCGCCGCAGUCUCGGCUGGCCGCGUCUCUGCUCCUGGAGGGUCCGCUUUCGGCGUCCGCUCCCCGGCGCGCUCCUUGCACUAGAUGGCUGGUCUGCGGUGUUCUUGCCCGGUUAGCGCCGGGUCGCUUCCGGUCUCCGCGGCGCCGGCGGGGACCGGGUAGGCAGAGCACGUGGGGCGACGCUGACCAGUCAGCAAGGCCCGGCCGAACACGCUCUGCAGAACUGGGAAGAAGCGGGCCUCGGGUCUCCCUGUGAUGAUGACAGCCUCUUCAUCUAUGACUGCAGUGCUGCAGAAAAGAAGUCACAAGAAAAUAAAGGGGAGGACGCGCCCUUGGACCAGGGGAGCGGUGCGAUUCUGGCGUCCACCUUCUCCAAGUCUGGCAGCUAUUUUGCUUUAACCGAUGACAGACCGUGGCAAGGAGGUGUACAGCCCUGACCUUCAUAGCCUCGGAGGAGAAGGUCUUGGUGGCCGACAAGUCUGGAGACGUCUACUCCUUUUCGGUGCUGGAGCCACACGGGUGUGGCCGUCUAGAGCUGGGGCACCUGUCUAUGCUGUUAGAUGUGGCUGUGAGUGCUGAUGACCGCUUCAUCCUCACUGCCGACCGGGACGAGAAGAUCCGAGUCAGCUGGGCCGCGGCGCCCCAUAGCAUCGAGUCCUUCUGCUUGGGGCACACAGAGUUUGUGAGCCGCAUCUUCGUGGUGCCAACUCAGCCCGGGCUGCUUCUGUCCUCCUCUGGGGACGGCACCCUGAGGCUCUGGGAGUACAGGAGCGGCCGCCAGCUGCACUGCUGUCACCUGGCCAGUCUGCAGGAGCUGGUGGACCCCCAGGCCCCCCAGAGGUUUGCCGCGUCCAGGAUUGCGUUCUGGUGCCAGGAGAACUGCGUGGCGCUCCUGUGCGACGGCACUCCUGUGGUCUACAUCUUCCAGCUGGACGCCCGCAGACAGCAGUUGGUGUACAGGCAGCAGCUGGCGUUCCAGCACCAAGUGUGGGAUGUGGCUUUCGAGGAGACCCAGGGGCUGUGGGUGCUCCAGGACUGCCAGGAAGCCCCCCUGGUGCUCUACAGGCCUAUGGGCGACCAGUGGCAGUCUGUUCCUGAGAGCGCCGUGUUAAAGAAAGUCUCUGGUGUUCUUCGUGGGAACUGGGCCAUGCUGGAAGGCUCUGCCGGCGCAGACGCCAGCUUCAGCAGUCUCUACAAGGCCACGUUCGACAACAUGACCUCCUACCUGAAGAAGAAAGAGGAGAGACUGCAGCAGCAGCUAGAGAAGAAGCAGCGGCGCCGGAGUCCCCCGCCUGGGCCCAACGGGCAUGCCAAGAAGAUGAGGCCGGGGGAGGCGACGUUAAGUUGCUGAUCGUGGCGGUCAGUGGUGCCUCUCACCUCAAGUUAGGAAAAGCUUUUUAACUUGUUCCCCUGCAUCCUGGCAUGUCCCUUUAAGAAGGAAAAGGUGACGUCAGUUGUGACCAGCUCAGAGGAUGGGGCUGUCCCCUGGGCUCUAGAAAGAACAUUCUGUGUCACCAGCACAGGCUCUUGCUGGGUGCCUGUGCCCCCUUUCUGGUUGAAGGGAAGCCAGACCAGUGGAGUGGAAGCUCUUGAAGCACUUUCUUUUCAUGUUGGAGGCUGCGUGUGAGCCCGUGGUGGCGGCAGCUGUCUGUGUUUCUCCUGUUCUCAUACCGCCCUUCGUGUCUGCUGCGUCUUCCUCUAGGAGCAUCUGUGGGCAGACGUUUCUGGCAUGGUGGAUGUUGUCAUGUUGUUCCGCCGUCUCAGCAUCCAGGUGACGUGCUGUCCCGCAGUAGCUGCUCGCCACACAGGCUGUUGAAACUCAGCACGAAUGCUUCAGCCCGCCCCAGCCCCAGCCAUAGCCCUUGUGCUCAGGAGCUGCUCCUGGAGAGUGGCUCCCUUGUGGGAAGUGAGAAACACGUUUCGGAGUCACAGGGAGCUCUGUCUGGCAUCGGUGGCGCAGAUGGUGAACUUGUUUCAGGAAGUGUGAGCAUGGGCCUGGCUGGCACCCGGUUUACAGGGAGGUGAUUGAGGACGUCGUUAUGAUUUGAUUUGACCUUGGCACACACUGCAGAGCCACAGGGAUGUUGCUGAAUUUCAAUCACCGAUCAGCAAGGAUGAACCUUCUCAACUUCCUAGGAAUGUUUAGCAGCAACCUAAUAUACCAGGCAAAACUC
rnacentral:sRNA from 1 species